CACGAAAUAGUAUGAGCUACUAAGCACAAAGUUUUAGAUUCACAAAAGUGUAAUAUAACUUCUGAAUAGUGAUUAUUAGGGGUGAAAGGCUUAACAAAUACUAUGAUAACUUGAUGUUACCUAUAUGUAUUAAGUACAUUGACAGCUUAACAGCGAUUAGGAUGUUAAGGAGUAUUUACGUUAGUAAAUAAUUAAUACUUUGUAUAAUAACUUGUAUACUUAAAGUUUAGUAUUAAUGUUUGAGGUUUAUUUAUAUUAGGUAACGGAAACUAAAUUUAAUUAUUAUCCAUAAUGUUAUUAUUAGUAGUAUAGAUAGAUAUUGUAAAUGAACUCGGCAAAUAGUCUUUCAACUGUUUACCAAAAACAUAGCCAUAUGGAAUGAUAUAUGGUGAUUUCUGCUCAAUGAGAUUAAAUAGCUGCAGUACCCUGACUGUGCAAAGGUAGCGCAAUCAAUUGACUUUUAAUUGAAGUCGUGUAUGAAAGAAUUAAUGGGGGACAACUUUAUUAACAGUAAAAUAUGAAUUUAAUUAAUAAGUGCAAAUGCUUAUAUCCAAACAAUAGACGAGAAGACCCUGAAAAUUUUGAGAAAUAGAGUUUAGUAAUCUUUUUGUUGGGGCAACAUAACAACAAGCUAACUUGUGUUAAUUAACAUGGGCAAAAUUUUGGGAAAGAAUAAAUUACUUCAGGGAUAACAGCAUAAUUUAAAGAAAGUUUGUGACCUCGAUGUUGGAUUAGGAAGUUACUAUUUAGAA
rnacentral:rRNA from 1 species